GACGAACGCUGGCGGCGUGCUUAACACAUGCAAGUCGAACGGAAAGGCCCUGCUUUUGUGGGGUGCUCGAGUGGCGAACGGGUGAGUAACACGUGAGUAACCUGCCCUUGACUUUGGGAUAACUUCAGGAAACUGGGGCUAAUACCGGAUAGGAGCUCCUGCUGCAUGGUGGGGGUUGGAAAGUUUCGGCGGUUGGGGAUGGACUCGCGGCUUAUCAGCUUGUUGGUGGGGUAGUGGCUUACCAAGGCUUUGACGGGUAGCCGGCCCGAGAGGGUGACCGGCCACAUUGGGACUGAGAUACGGCCCAGACUCCUACGGGAGGCAGCAGUGGAGAAUAUUGCACAAUGGGCGGAAGCCUGAUGCAGCAACGCCGCGUGCGGGAUGACGGCCUUCGGGUUGUAAACCGCUUUCGCCUGUGACGAAGCGUGAGUGACGGUAAUGGGUAAAGAAGCACCGGCUAACUACGUG
rnacentral:rRNA from 1 species